AGUGAAUAGAUACCCGGGUAGUCCACGCCCUAAACGAUGCUCACUAGGUGUUGGGGAAGCGAUUCCUUGGUACCGUAGCUAAACGCGUGAAGUGAGCCGCCUGGGGAGUACGGCCGCAAGGUUAAAACUCAAAGGAAUUGACGGGGACCCGCACAAGCGGUGGAUGAUGUGGAUUAAUUCGAUGCAACGCGAACAACCUUACCUACCCUUGACAUGUCUGGAAGGCUGCUGAGAGGUGGCUGUGCCCGAAAGGGAACCGGAACACAGGUGCUGCAUGGCUGUCGUCAGCUCGUGUCGUGAGAUGUUGGGUUAAGUCCCGCAACGAGCGCAACCCUUGUCCCUAGUUGCUACGCAAGGGCACUCUAGGGAGACUGCCGGUGACAAACCGGUGGAAGGUGGGGAUGACGUCAAGUCCUCAUGGCCCUUAUGGGUAGGGCUUCACACGUCAUACAAUGGACGGUACAGAGGGUUGCCAACCCGGCGAGGGGGUAGCCAAUCCCAGAAACGCCGUUCGUAGUCCGGAUUGCAGUCUGCAAUUCG
rnacentral:rRNA from 1 species